UGGGAGGCUGAUACCUGGGCAGUUCUACCCUAUGUUCUACCCAUCACUAGCUCUCCCUAGAUUAUACCUGCUUUCUGAUGACCGGGGCGAAUUGAGAGAAAUCGCAACGGACAGAUACGGAGCAGACAAAA
ensembl:scaRNA small Cajal body-specific RNA 8